CGUAGGUGGCAAGCGUUGUCCGGAAUUAUUGGGCGUAAAGCGCGCGCAGGCGGUCCUUUAAGUCUGAUGUGAAAGCCCACGGCUCAACCGUGGAGGGUCAUUGGAAACUGGGGGACUUGAGUGCUGAAGAGGAGAGUGGAAUUCCACGUGUAGCGGUGAAAUGCGUAGAGAUGUGGAGGAACACCAGUGGCGAAGGCGACUCUCUGGUCUGUAACUGACGCUGAGGCGCGAAAGCGUGGGGAGCAAACAGGAUUAGAUACCCUGGUAGUCCACGCCGUAAACGAUGAGUGCUAAGUGUUAGAGGGUUUCCGCCCUUUAGUGCUGCAGCUAACGCAUUAAGCACUCCGCCUGGGGAGUACGGCCGCAAGGCUG
rnacentral:rRNA from 1 species